GACGAACGCUGGCGGCGUGCCUAAUACAUGCAAGUCGAGCGAAGUUUUUCUGGUGCUUGCACUAGAAAAACUUAGCGGCGAACGGGUGAGUAACACGUAAAGAACCUGCCUCAUAGACUGGGACAACUAUUGGAAACGAUAGCUAAUACCGGAUAGCAGUAUUUCUCGCAUGAGAGAUAUUUAAAAGUUGGUUAUGCUAACACUAUGAGAUGGCUUUGCGGUGCAUUAGCUAGUUGGUGGGGUAAAGGCCCACCAAGGCGACGAUGCAUAGCCGACCUGAGAGGGUGAUCGGCCACACUGGGACUGAGACACGGCCCAGACUCCUACGGGAGGCAGCAGUAGGGAAUCUUCCGCAAUGGGCGAAAGCCUGACGGAGCAACGCCGCGUGAGUGAAGAAGGAUUUCGGUUCGUAAAGCUCUGUUGUUAGGGAAGAAUGGAUAUGUAGUAACUAUACAUGUAAGAGACGGUACCUAACCAGAAAGCCACGGCUAACUACGUG
rnacentral:rRNA from 1 species